CUAAUUUUUUAAUGUAUUUUUUAGUAGAGACAGGGUUUCACCGUGUUAGCCAGGAUGGUCUUGAUCUCCUGACCUUGUGAUCCACCUACCUCGGCCUCCCAGAGUGCUGGGAUUACAGGGGUGAACCACUGCGCUCGGCUUUGCCACGAUCAGCUUGGCUUUUUAAAACUUUAGUUUUGUUUUUAUUACUCCAUACCUCUUCAACUCUCAGUAAGUCACUAGUGGCCUGAAACAAAAUGUAAGUGCGCUAGGGAGCUUCCUCUGUGGGAUGAGCCAUUUUAUAACACAAAACCUUCUGCCACACGGAUCGCCUUUUCAUCAUUAAUUUGUCUGGUAAAUAUCACAUUAGUCCAGGCUUUACAAAAUCAGAUACUAGAUGUACUUCCCAUGAAAACAUGAACAAAUCUGCAUUUGGAAGAUCUGGGUGGCAGGACACAGAGGUGAGGGACCUUUCCGGAGGGUCCAAGUCCUCCCUCUGGAGGACAGUCACUAUCUAGAACUGUGUCUACAGGAACUGUUUUCAUGCAUCCAGAUGUGGACAUGAAGGACCAGCCCACGGUAAUGACUGGCUAAGUCAAUUCCAUACAUAUUUACUGAGCAUUCCCCAUGCCCUGGGCGCUGAGAGGGUCCCCCUAGGAAGCAGGUGCAUCCUGCCCUUGGUGAGAUUAGGCUUCUGUCGUACUCAGUCAGUGCAAUAUCGUCAACUCCCAAGACCCCUACCUAGCCAGGUAGAGGAGAGGAUUGGAGAGAAAUCAUUAAGUCACUUCAGCCCUUUUAAUUAGCUUUUUCCAGUCUCAAGUGCUACUGCAGGUAUGAGGGAAGUGAAGCCCUGAGCGCUGCUCCGGAGGAUUUGGCAUGCGAGUGAGUGGGAAAGAAAGAAAGCUCCUUCAAUGACUGCCGUGGAAAAAGUGCCCCGGAUUGGCGCAUCUGAAGCUGACGUGCGCACGGGUCACCUGGGAGUCCUGUCAAAAUGUAGGUUCUGAUUUGCUGGAUUGGGGUGUGGCCCAACAACCUGCAUUUCCGGUUUGCCCAGGUGAUGUUCAUGCCACUGAUCCUGAGCCACACUUUGAGAAGCCAGCUUCCUCCAAAAGUCUAUCAAUUCUCCAACAACUAAGAAAAACUACACAUCACCCAUUCAGUCUUGGGAGCCUGCAUUCCCAAGGGGCUGUGUCUCCCACUGCAGUCCCAUCACCCUGCCAUCUGGGGAAAGAAAGCAAACCGAAAACCUUAGAACAGUAAAAGCAUUCAUCGCGUGGCCGGCUGAGGCUUGAGCUUGCUGGAGAAGUGAGGUUUCUAAAGAGCUCUGCCCCACUGACACCUCAAGCUGCCCUGACUGCUCCUCCCUGAGCUGAGAGGUGCCAUCAGCUGUCAGACCUGGCCUCAGGGUAACAGGCAACGAAGGCACAGGAAAUACUCUUUGAGCUGCUGAACACUUUAGUGUUCAGCCCCUUAACCUAAGGAGGAGCUACACAAAUGAAGAACUGUGGAACUGACCUCAGAUGCUCUCUCGUUGGAAAUUGGCACGCAAACCACAACCACGAUGGCGGCUUCUGAGAGGUGGAGGAGAGGGGUGUGGCAAAGCAGCAAGGAAGGGGGUCUGGGGUCCAGCCCAGCUGGGACAGUGAAGGUUCCCUGUUCAAGGGGACUCUGUUCCUUGGACAAUGAUUGCUUCCUUUAUGCUCUGGAGUCCAGCAGAGACUGACACACAGUUGGGGCUAAACACGUCUGAGGGUGAUGAAACUCCCAUUUCUGACGCCGUCAACUUGUUUUCUGUAAUGUUAGCCCUGCCAUAUUCCAGCUCGACAGAGCUUGGGCAGCCCGAGGUGGUGACUGUAUUUGGCCAUCAGCCAUGUCCCUUGCAGGGCCAGUCUCUGAGGUGCCAUGAGACCUUCUGUGCCUGGCAAGCCGGGGCACUUCGGAGAAUGGCAGCUGCCUGGUUUCUCAGGGGAGCAACUACAUUCCUAAGUCGCUUGGGGAUCGCUUGACUUCCCUCAUUCAUUCACCCAUCCUUCCAUCCAUCUAUUCCUUCAUCCAGCAAAUUGGACCCCUUCCGUGUGCCAGACACUGUUCUGAGCAGAAGCACCUGCCCUUGAGGAAGUGACACUCCAGUGGGGAGAGACAAGUAAGCUCACAAAGAUCUAUCUGCAAAAUCAAAUUCCAGGUAGUGAUCAGUGCCACGAACAAAAAUAAAAAUGAAUAAAGAGAUGUAAAAUGAUUUCCUUCCCCAAGGGCAGAGGAUUCUUUCUAGCAGGUUAUUUGGAAAAGUUCCCUCUGAAGAGGUGACAUUUGAUCAUUGUUAAAGUCACAUGCAUCAUUGUGAACAUUUCACAAAACACAGAAGAACCUAAUGCUUUCGCACAAACCAUCAUCUAGAAAUCACACCAUCUCAACAUCUUGUCGUUUAAAAAUUGAUAUAUAAUAAUGGUACAUAUUUCUGGGGUCCCUGUGAUAUUUUGAUACAUGCAGACAAUGUGUAAUGAUCAAAUCAGGGUAAUUAGGCUAUCCAUCACUUCAAACAUGUAUCAUUUCUUUGCCAAUGCCUUGUCUUUUGUCGUCUUAAAGUACAGAUUUGCAUCAUGCUUUUUAAAAUUUAACAUUACACUAUAAUUAUUUUGUAGCUGUGUUUAUGUUUUUCUGUUUUCAAGUAUCAAUAUAUAGUAUGGAUUUUUAAAAAAUUGGUACUGUAAAUGUACAUGAAGUUUUUCUGUCUUUACAAAAGAAG
ensembl:lncRNA novel transcript